rnacentral:rRNA from 1 species
GUAGGAUUCGAGCGUUGUCCGGAUUUAUUGGGCGUAAAGGGGGGGUGUGUAGGCGGCAUGGGCAAGUCUCAUGUGAAAUCUCCCGGCUUAACUGGGAGGGGUCAUGGGAAACUGCCAAGCUGGAGGGCAGCAGAGGAAAGCGGAAUUCCGGAAGUAGUGGUGAAAUGCGUAGACACCCGGAGGAACACCCGAGGCGAAGGCGGCUUUCUGGGCUGUACCUGACGCUGAGACACGAAAGCGUGGGGAGCAAACCGGAUUAGAUACCCGGGUAGUCCACGCCCUAAACGAUGGAUACUAGGUAUGGGGGGUAUCGACCCCUCCCGUGCCGAAGUUAACGCGAUAAGUAUCCCGCCUGGGGAGUACGGCCGCAAAGGCUAA